AUUGAACGCUGGCGGCAGGCCUAACACAUGCAAGUCGAACGAGUGGCGGACGGGUGAGUAAUGUCUGGGAAACUGCCCGAUGGAGGGGGAUAACUACUGGAAACGGUAGCUAAUCCCGCAUACCAUCGGAUGUGCCCAGAUGGGAUUAGCUUGUAGGUGAGGUAACGGCGCACCUAGGCGACGAUCCCUAGCUGGUCUGAGAGGAUGACCAGCCACAAUGGACAUGAGACACGGUCCAGACUCCUACGGGAGGCAGAAGUGGGGAAUAGUGCACAAGGGGCGCAAGCCUGAUGCAGCCAUGCCGCGUGUAUGAAGAAGGCCUUCGGGUUGUAAAGUACUUUCAGCGGGGAGGCGUGACCCGCAGAAGAAGCACCGGCUAACUCCGUGCAAGCAGCCGCGGUAAUUC
rnacentral:rRNA from 1 species